ACGGUAGAUGACAAAUUGGCCAGUCGCUCCAUUUGGGAUGGAGAGCUAUUGCGUGUUCGAAUCGCGCCUACCGUA
rnacentral:tRNA from 1 species